GAGCCAUGUCUGCAACCUACACCAGGGCUCACGGCAACACCAAAUCCCCAACCCACUGAGCAAGGCCAGGGAUCCAACCCGGAUCCUCAUGGAUACUAUGGGAUUUGUUUCCGUUGCACCAUAACAGGAACUCCCCCUCCUUAUCUGUUUAUCCCACACUCCCACUCCCGUUCCCUCUGUGUGGGGACCUUGUCUCCACAUGGCCUUUGAAGCAAGCGCCACCCCCCACCUUCCACUCUGUGUCGCUAAUAGGACCUCCCACCUACCUGGGCAUCUGUGAAGUGACUCAGAGUGGACCACAGAAGUCAGAGGACUCUAAUAAGCUCAGGAGCCCAUGCCCAGGCCCUGCUCAAGGUCUUCAGGCUGUAGGCAGAGCUAGGUUAGAGCCCAUGACACCACUUGAACCUCCCCUGUUGCUAAGUCCACAUGAGUGUAAGUCUUUUCUUUCUUUNNNNNNNNNNNNNNNNNNNNNNNNNNNNNNNNNNNNNNNNNNNNNNNNNNNNNNNNNNNNNNNNNNNNNNNNNNNNNNNNNNNNNNNGAGCUGGUAGACACCGGCCUACACCACAGCCACAGCAACACGGGAUCUGAGCUGCGUCUGCAACCCACACCACAGCUCACGGCAACACCAGAUCCUUAACCCACUGAGCAAGGCCAGGGAUCGAACCCGCAACCUCAUGGUUCCUAGUCAGAUUCGUUAACCACUGAGCUACGACAGGAACUCCGAGCGUAAGUAUUUUCUAACUCCCAUUCCUGGUCUCAGGGUUCUGUGUGUCUGGGUGUUCGGGCUUCUCGGAAUUGGAACCCCUGCUCUCUCUGGUGGAAAGUACUGACUUAGUGGGUAAUCUCACUGAGGUUGAUCCGCUUCUCAGAAAACCCACGAACCGAAACUCCCAGGGGAAUUUACAAUCCAAGCCUGUUGCAGAAGCCCCAGAGGCCACAUGAGUGGGGUUUCCAAAGGAAGUCAAAGCUUCGCCUUCAGCACAAGCUGGGCCACCCGGACAAGUGGGCCACAGGCCAGCCCCAGAGGGAACUUGGCCCUGAGACCCAGAACGAGCUUGUUUUCCCCCAAGUCAAGGCUCACCAGCCCUCUGGCAGACAAUCGAACUGGGUCGCUUGUCACUGGCACUGCCAUGGUGGGUCCCCAGAGGGUCUGGGAGGCAUUAGAAAGACUCUGAGCCCUGGCCAUGGAUUUUGCACUUAGAAAAUCAAAGAGGGUUUCUCUCUCUCUCUCUCUCUUAAAUAAGCAGUUGCCCUAGGACCCAGGCCUGGGCCACCCAGGAAGGGACAAAAGACAAUGGACCGAAAGGACGUUCCUAGGAGAGCUCAGAGGCCAGCACUGCGUCUGUUCUCCAAUGAAAGACGUGCUCAUCAAGGAUAACGUUGAGCUGGACCAGAGCCAAGGCAGCCGCAGCCGGGAUGUGCCUCCAAACCGACACGGAGGAAGAAACUGGUGCAAAGGGAAGAUGUUAUUGAGAGCCACCCACUGCCGCUCUCUCCUCCGGCUCUGCCUCUGUCUCCCUCUCUGCAGUUCUCCUUCCCACCCACAGGCACCAGCCUUUCUGCCUGGGAUUGUGUCAGGGGGGAAGGGGAGCUCUGGCCGCCUGACUCGACUGGCCAGUUGGCUGAAAAUGGAAGGUCAGGAACAUAAGGGGAUCCAGGCUCAGAGGGAUAUUCCCCAGACACCCCCUCUCAGUCCUUGGCGCUCUUCCGUUUGCUACCAUCCAGGGGAUCAAAGAUUUUUCUCUCCCUCAAACCAUGCAAUGAGACCUCAGAGCCUUUCUCUCGGGAAGGCUUAUGGGGAGGGAUUAGGGAGAGAACAAAAUACAGGACUCCCAGCUUCCCCAGGCAAAGCGACCCUCAGGCCAAGACCUAUGGCAUCCUUUGGUGUUUGGGAUGAAAAAAGAGAAAGUUAUUUUCAGCAAGCGUGCAUGCUCCUGGGCCAUAAAAAGGAAGGAACUAUGGAUACACAUGGGCUUGGAUGAAUCGCCAGGUUUUUAUGCCGAGUGAGAAAAGCUAGUCUCACAUGUUUAGAUACUAUGAUUCCAUUUAUGUGACAUUCUUUUUUUUUUUUUUUUGGUAGCCCCCACAACAUAAGGGGUUCCUGGGCCAGGGGUCAGAUCUGAGCUGCCUUUGUGACCUAAGCAACAGGAUCCUUUAAGCCAGGGAUCCAACCUUCUUCCUGGCACUGCAGAGACACCACCUACCCCGUUGUGACACAGAGCGAACUCCUUAUAGGACAUUUUUGAGGACAGAAUUACAGGGAGGGAGGACAGAUUAGUGUCCGAGGUUAUGAAUGAGGGCAGAGUACCAGAUAGCAGGAGAGCAGUUUGGGGUUUUUUGGUGGGGGGUGUGGGGAGAAUGGACUUGGGAUCUGACUAUGGUGAUAGUUUCAUGAAUCUCUGCAGGUGUGAACAUUCAAAGAAUCGUACCGUCAAAUAAGUCAAUUUGACCUUCAGCUCUGGCUCAGAUUCUCGGAUCGGAUCCCUGGCCCGGGGAACUUCCGUUCCCCGCUGUGUGUUGGCUGUGUGUUGGGGUGGUGGGGGCCGGGAGACAGCCAAAAAAGAAAAA
rnacentral:lncRNA from 1 species